GGGGCCAUUGACGGCAUUGCGCUCUUGGGAUAUGCCUGAGAGCAUGUCUGCUUCAGUGCUUCUACUUUCAUUUUCUGCUGCUCUUGUUAUCGGGAGCAGUGUUGCUGCAUGCUUCUGCAAAAGGCACUGGCAUGCUAAGUAUCAAGUUUUGCUUGCUGUUCUGACUGAUCAACAUCUCAUGUCGUUUCAGUUGGCGAAACAAAAGCUGAAGUGUGUUCUUAACACUUCCUAGCAUGAAGUCAGACAAGUGAACCCGCUGAACUUAACAUAAUGGAUCCCAAUAACAAGUGCAGUCUUGACCUCAAAUCAAGCAAGGCUACCCGCUGAACUUAAGCAUAUGGAUCCCAAAAAGGAACCUA
rnacentral:rRNA from 1 species